AGCAGCCGCGGUAAUUCCAGCUCCAAUAGCGUAUAUUAAAGUUGUUGCAGUUAAAAAGCUCGUAGUUGAAUUUCGGGGUUCUACCGUUGGUCGGGCUUUGUCUGUACUGGCGUGUAGAAUUUCUACCUUCUGGGGAACCAUCAUGUUAUUAAUUUAACGUGGUGGGAAACCAGGACCUUUACCUUGAAAAAAUUAGAGUGUUCAAAGCAGGCUUAUGUCUGAAUACAUUAGCAUGGAAUAAUAAAAUAGGACGUGUGGUUCUAUUUUGUUGGUUUCUAGGACCGCCGUAAUGAUUAAUAGGGACAGUCGGGGGCAUCAGUAUUCAAUUGUCAGAGGUGAAAUUCUUGGAUUUAU
rnacentral:rRNA from 1 species